UCUUUUGCUUUUUGGGCAUAAAGCAUGUAAGAUAAAGUUUCUUCCUCUCCUUCAAAUUAACGCAGGGUGAUGAAGUGUGAAGGUGUAAUCUUUGAGAGACUAAUAACCAGUUCAUGUAACAAUCAUGUGUGAAGAAGAUUUUUGCUCCUGACCUUGACACGAUUUUGAUGAAGACACUAACAUCACCAAAAAGAAGAAAGGAAGAAUACUUAUGAAGACAAAGAAGAAAAAGCUUCAAGACAAAUUAGUCUAAGUCUAAAUAGGUACUUCUAUCCUAUACUCUCGAAUAUACUUUAGUAGUAAUGCUCAAAUUAUUUUUAAAGAAGAUUGAAACAUAAGUAUAAUCAAAACAAUUUUCAACAAUAGUAUGUAACGGGUUACUGUACUUAAGUAACAGAUUACAUGUGUG